CAUUUAUGUAAGAUGCAGCUGACGUUUUCAGUUUCUUUGAUACAUUGUACAGUAAUUCAAACCAUGUAAUUUAUUUAAGGUAAGUGCUUUGCAUAUUUAUUAUUUGUUAGAAUGUCGUUUCAGUGGACAUGAUUAUGACUCUUUGAUGUCCAGCCUCGUAUAUAUAUGAUCAUACAAUUACAUGACUCGAAGUGGGUAUGCUAAAAAGUCUUAAAUAUAUGGUGAUUGAUAGAUUUUUUAUGUUCUUAUGCCAUUUUCGGCACUAUGGCUAUUUUGUGGCGAUCAUAUUUCAUUAGUAAAGGAUACUUUAGUGCACGGAAAGAACCACCAAACUUCUGUGUGGAUAAUUGUUUUGUGAUAUCGUCAGGAAAGUUUAGAAGAAAACUUUUAGUUACAGCAAUCAUUUUCGAUAAAGUUAUAUAAGAAGCAGUGUAAACUAUACAAACUCAACGAUUUUAUUCGGAGUUGUGGCGUAAAGAUAUAUUUUUUUCAAGCAACUUAUUGACAAAUAUCUAAGUAACAACUUAAUCUAACAUUACAUUUUUUCACUGAUCUGAAUUUAUAUGGUUUUUUGUUCUUCUUCAAAUAAAUAAAAGUAUUUUUUACAAAACUAAAAAAAAACAGCAUGCACAUUCAGGAAGAUUUGGUAUCAACUUGAUAAUGUUAUAAUCUCUCUUCUGUUCCUGUGUCACGGAAUAUUACAGAAUCAAAUGGAAUUAACAAUUUAUAAAUUUCGUGUGUCCGACGGGAACGCUCAAACUGAAAAAAAAUCUAAAAAUGCUAGAUUCUAUAAAUACAUGAGUUGUAUAACUAAAAAGGCCUAGGUAAAAUAACCAAAUGCAUCUAAGGUCAACAUAGCCUGGAAACUUCACAAGAACAGUCUACAAAAAGACAUGUCAUCCUUACCGGACAUAGUAAUCCAACCAUAAGCAAAAAAAAGAAGCAGCAUAAGCAAAUUUUAAAGUCUUUGAUUUAAACCGGUCGUUGCCGAACUCACGACUUUUGGCAUUCUAAAGAUUAAGUUGAUAACGAGGUGGAUAUACACUGUAGGGAAAACGGUAGUACAAAAUUUUCCCAGCAUUAGGUUGGCCUUUUGUGUACCCAAGGCAGGUGAAGGAAGUCAAAUUAGGAGCGCUGUGAUUGGAUGUAAGGGUACAGUAUAUUUUUUUUAUUAUUCUAUGAAUAAAUGCAGUGUGUAUAUAUAUUUACAAUAUAAAUUUUGAAAUCUAUUGAAAUAUUUUCUAGAGAAUUAUUCGAAAAGACUUCAAUUGCAAAAUGACGGUGGGCAUUGAUAACAUAAACAUAUACAGACGUGUUAUGAGUGUCAAUGAGAAAACUCUGCAAUAUUUAUGCAUGUUAAGAGUGCGUUAUCCUGAAUUCUUUGUCAAAAUCUGUAAUUAGGUACAGUAUUAUAAAUUAAAAAGACAGAUAUUAUUUUGAAUUGAUAAUUCAAAUGUAUUGAGUAUUUUGUUAAAUUGUUUUUUUCUUUUUUGCAUUUUAGAUUAUUGUGUUGUUUGAGCAAUGUUUCUUGGGGCUUCGCUAGUAGCCCUUUGCGCCAACGCUUCACUCCUUAACUUCUUGUCAACACAAUUACCAGACGAAAAAGACCCGGAUGGUAUAUUUGAUCAACCUUUCAAAAAAUACUACGACUACAUUGUUG
rnacentral:lncRNA from 1 species